rnacentral:rRNA from 1 species
CGCGUAGGCGGGCCGGACAGUCUGUGGUGAAAGCCCCCAGCUUAACUGGGGAAGUGCCAUGGAUACUGCCGGUCUUGAGGAGGGUAGGGGCAUCUGGAACGCUGGGUGGAGCGGUGAAAUGCGUUGAUAUCCAGCGGAACUCCGGUGGCGAAGGCGAGGUGCUGGACCCUUUCUGACGCUGAGUGCGCGAAAGCCAGGGAGCAAACG